ACCAGGAGCCGUGUGGAGCCACGCUGGUGCCGCGAGGCUGUGCCGCCGCUGCGGGGCCGGGCCGUCGGGCCGAGCGUGCCGCGCUCUGUGCGGGAGCAGUGAUGCUGUUUGAAAUGAACAGGGCUAAUGCCUUUAUUAAUGUUCAGCUCUUUAUUAAAAAGAUCAGCUGGGCAGGGGGCUCGACGCAGAGCUUGCCCCCGCGCUGUCCUUUCUUCUUUCCUUGUGGCACACUGGUGGGCUGAGGAUGAGGAGGCGUGGCAUGCAGAGUCUGUUGCUGAAGUCCAGAACAACAGCUGUCCCCGCUCCUUCUGUGGUGGCAGCACCAGGGCUCUCUCUCCCUAUAUCCCUGCUUCUCAGAGCCUAAUAUAGUCUGUUCUUUCUUAGGUGAUGGCGACGGUUAAAAGUCAAUCAGGUGAUGUGUUUCCCUCUUCCUCAGCUAGGGCAUUUGUCUAGACUCCUCUAUUGUGUUCAGUUUUUGAUUUAUAUUCCUCUUUAUCUCCUAAAAAUCCUCCCAUGAUCCUAAGGGGUUUUUAUUUGCAUGUUAGUCCCAGAAUGGCAGCGUGGAGGGGUGGGAGGCCAGUUAUCUCCAGGUAGUUUAGAGAAAACAAACAGAGCAAUUAGCUAAUUAGCAUUUCAAUAUAGGUACUUAGCUAGAGUUAGUAGGUUUUUUAGUGUUGCCCUGGGGACGAGGAAGGCCCUGCCUGAGUCUCUGGGGAACACGUGGAAACUGUUCAUAACACUGUUGAGCAGGACGGGAACAGAGAACUCCAGAUCAGAAGGCUAAGAAAACGAGCUCUGAUUUAUUUCAAAUUUACCGCUCUAUAUAUAGAGAACUUCAAGACGACUAAUUUCAUUUGUCGUAAAAACAUGUCACACCAUUGGUGUGCAGUGAAUGACGCACAGUGGCAGAGCAUAUCCAAUGUGAAUAACGAGAUAGAUUAGAGAAUUAUAUACAUUCUUUCCCAACUGUUUUCCAGGCUGUCGCCUGGUUAGAAAACCAUUCUCUUUCUUUCUGACUUAGCUGAGAAUACCCACAGAGCAGUGCUUCAAUCUGGACUGAAAACGGGAGCAGAGCCUCCCCAUAGUAAGUCAGUGGACCCUCUGCCACCCACGAGGGAGCACACGGAUGCUUUUCCCUUCGUGGGAGGGGAAGUGAAAACUUUCACAGCCACGGAGUGCCGAAGGAAGGAAGCUUCCUGGGACUGAGGACCCUGGUGGCAGCUUUUUGUUUGCAGAGACUCCAAUCUGGUGUCCUCUCUUGGUCUCUUUAUCUCGGGCCUAGUAGCGCCCUCAGAACAGUGCAGCCUGUAUCGCAGUGAACCAGCUGCUACCUGGAAUCUCAGCAGAGACCCAGGGGCAGCGGUGUGUGUUGCCUAGCACCGGCCCCCUACGGCGACCGCUGGCCGGCGCUGGGAAGGAUGGAGGCCGUGUGGGGACAAAAGUUGUCCCAGUUCCCCUAUCCCCAAACAUCAGGAGGAACCACCCCCAUCAUCAUCGCAGCAGGCCUUCUCCAUCUGCAAAGAGCAGCCAUCGCAGCAGCAGAGGAAAACACCAGGAGCAGAAGAAGCAACCAGACAAGCAGUGAAGAAGUCAAAACGACUGUCUUCUUUAUGGAUUUUAAAGCGGCGAGAUGUUGCAUCCCGGACUUUGGGUUUAGGUCGGGGUUCUGACGUGUGUUAGCAGAUUCUGUGCACCCCCGAGUAUCCCCCGGCUUCUCCUCACUGUGGUAGCUGGUUUCUGGGUUGCCUUACCAUGUGGGACUGGCUCCCAUCCCCCCUCUCCCUUCCUGUGGGUCCUUUGCUGCUGUUACCCUUCCCCCGUGGCCGGGGUGGCCCCGGCCCUAGAGCCAGCUCCAGCCGCAUGCCCAGUGGACCCCUCCAGGCCACGUCACACCCCCUGCGGACGUGGGGUUGCCCCGGGCCCUGGCGCUGCCCCUGCCGUGCUCCUAUUGGCUGCCCCAAGCCACGCCACGCCUCGGGACCGCCAUGGCACUGCCCCGGGCCUCCGUGCUGUCCCUCACUGCGUCCCUAUUGGCUUCCCCAGACCACAUGACACCCCCAGCUCCACCCCCCAUAAAAACCCCUCGCGGUCGGGACCACGCGGCCAUAUUCCCCAACACAGAA